rnacentral:rRNA from 1 species
GACGAACGCUGGCGGCGUGCUUAACACAUGCAAGUCGAACGGAAAGGCCCCUUUUGGGGUACUCGAGUGGCGAACGGGUGAGUAACACGUGAGUAACCUGCCCUUGACUUCGGGAUAACUUCAGGAAACUGGGGCUAAUACCGGAUAGGAAUCCUUGCUGCAUGGUGGGGGUUGGAAAGCUUCGGCGGUUUUGGAUGGACUCGCGGCUUAUCAGCUUGUUGGUGGGGUAGUGGCUUACCAAGGCUUUGACGGGUAGCCGGCCUGAGAGGGCGACCGGCCACAUUGGGACUGAGAUACGGCCCAGACUCCUACGGGAGGCAGCAGUGGGGAAUAUUGCACAAUGGGCGGAAGCCUGAUGCAGCAACGCCGCGUGCGGGAUGACGGCCUUCGGGUUGUGAACCGCUUUCAGCAGGGGCGAAGCUUGUGGUGACGGUACCUGCAGAAGAAGCACCGGCUAACUACGUG